rnacentral:misc_RNA from 1 species
UUCAUCCCGCAACGCACCGGCGCCAGAGACACAAUUUCUCAAACCCUGUCUUCACAAAUAUCUUCCCAUAUACUGACCCUGAGUGGUCUGGUUAUGGUUGUGGUUACCCCGCGGUUCAGUUGAUGGCCUCCCGAAUAAGCCAUCAGGCUAGAUUCGCGACCUUAUAGGCGGUGCUGUGGCAUUGGACCUUAAGAGCGGUGCCCCGGCACCUGUGGCACAUCCGGCCAUGGGCAGCUCAGGGCGUCCCGCUGGGCGCACGGUGGAUUGCACCAGGUCCUCCUCCCUGACGGGAUAGGACUGGUUCCUGGUCGUUCUUUGCUUAGUGUGCCCAGGUACAACAUCUACGUUGUGAGUGGCU